rnacentral:rRNA from 1 species
AUUGAACGCUGGCGGCAUGCCUAACACAUGCAAGUCGAGCGUAGCGGUUGACGGGUGAGUAAUUCCUAGGAAUCUGCCUUGUAUUGGUGGAUAACGUCCGGAAACGGGCCCUAAUCCCGCAUCCUUUCAUAUGAGCCGAGGUCGGAUUAGCUGGUUGGUGGGGUAAAGGCCUACCAAGGCGACCAUCCGUAACUGGUCUGCGAGGAUGAUCAGGCACACGGGAACGGUGACACGGUCCAGAGUCCUACGGGAGGCAGCAGUGGGGAAUAUGGGGCAAUGGGCGAAAGCCUGAUCCAGUCAUGCCGCGUGUGUGAAGAAGGUCUUCGGAUUUUAAAGCUCUUUAAGUUGGGAGGCGUUACCAACAGAAUAAGCACCGGCUAACUACGUGCCAGCAGCCGCGGUAAUAC